rnacentral:ncRNA from 1 species
UUAGCCCCCAGUAAGCUUAUACAUGCAAGUAUCCCCAUUCCAGUGAGAAUGCCCUCCAGAUCCCUUGGAUCAAAAGGUGCGGGUAUCAAGCUCACUACUAACAGUGGCUCACGACGCCUUGCUUAACCACACCCCCACGGGUCACAGCAGUAACCAAAAUUAAGCAAUAAACGAAAGUUUGACUAAGCUAUACUAUAAAAUCAGGGUUGGUCAAUUUCGUGCCAGCCACCGCGGUCAUACGAUUAACCCUAGUUAAUGAAAUACGGUGUAAAACGUGAUUUAGAAAACGAAAUAAUAAGACUAAAAUUUAGCCAAGUUGUGGAAAACCCUGGCUAUCAGUAAAUUCACCCACGAAAGUAAUCUUAAAUAAUCUGAACUCACGAUAGCUAAGACCCAAACUGGGAUUAGAUACCCCACUAUGCUUAGCCCUAAACACUAAUAUUCCCUUAACAAGAAUAUUCACCAGAGAACUACAGGCAACAGCCCAAAACUCAAAGGACUUGGCGGUGCCUUACAUCCCUCUAGAGGAGCCUGUUCUAUAAUCGAUACACCCCGAUAUACCUCACCACCUUUCGCAAUAACAGUCUAUAUACCGCCAUCUUCAGCAAACCCUGACAAGGCCUCCCAGUAAGCAUAAUAAUCACACAUAAAAACGUUAGGUCAAGGUGUAACCUAUAAGGUGGAAAGCAAUGGGCUACAUUUUCUCGUUCAGAAUACACGAUAGCUUUUAUGAAACCAAAAGUCCAAGGCGGAUUUAGUAGUAAGUCUGGAAUAGAGUGCCCGACUGAAUUAGGCAAUAAGGCAC